CCUACGGGCGGCAGCAGUGGGGAAUAUUGGGCAAUGGGCGCAAGCCUGACCCAGCAACGCCGCGUGAAGGAAGAAGGCUUUCGGGUUGUAAACUUCUUUUCUGAGGGACGAAGAAAGUGACGGUACCUCUUGAAUAAGUCACGGCUAACUACGUGCCAGCAGCCGCGGGAAUACGUAGGUGGCAAGCGUUAUCCGGAUUUAUUGGGUGUAAAGGGCGGGUAGGCGGGAAAGCAAGUCAGAUGUGAAAACUCAGGGCUCAACCCUGAGCCUGCAUUUGAAACUGUUUUUCUUGAGUGCUGGAGAGGCAAUCGGAAUUCCGGGUGUAGCGGUGAAAUGCAUAGAUAUACGGAGGAACACCAGUGGCGAAGGCGGAUUGCUAGACAGUAACUGACGCUGAAGCGCGAAAGCGUGGGGAGCAAACAGGAUUAGAUACCCGGGUAGUC
rnacentral:rRNA from 1 species